AUGCAAGAAGAAUGUUUCCUCGAACUUUCUGUUUGUCUGAUUGUGGCAGCCAAGAUUGAAUAGAGGAACACAGAG
rnacentral:snoRNA from 1 species